rnacentral:rRNA from 1 species
GAUAAACGCUGGCGGCGUGCUUAAGACAUGCAAGUCGAACGAAGGAUCGCCCGUUCUCGAUCCUUAGUGACGGGCGAACGGGUAACGCGUAGGUGACCUACCCCGACUUGGGGUAUAACUGCCCGAAAGGAUGGGUAAUACCGCCUGUGGACGCCCGUGCAUUCGUUCGCGUUAAGCCGCAGGGCGCUUCGGGAGGGGACUGCGUCCGAUUAGCUCGUUGGUGGGGUGAUGGCUUCCCAAGGCGACGAUCGGUGGGUGGUCUGAGAGGACGAUCACCCAGGCUGGGAAUGCGACACGGCCCAGACUCCGACGGGAGGGAGCAGUCGGGAAUUUUGCGCAAGGGAGGAAACCCUGAAGCAGCAGCGUGGCGGGAGAGAGGAAGGCCUUCGGGUUGUAAACCUCUUUGGUCAGGGACGAUGGUGACGGUACCUGGAGAAUAAGCCACGGCUAACUACGUG